GGGGACUUAAUCCGGUGUGGGGAGACUGUCUGGGCUGCAGGCAGUCUCCCCACAACAGGAACAACACCGAUCGCCGCCGGGGGAACGAUGGCGAUCAGGUAAGUAACUAAGACCGUUAGGACGGUUCAGGACCGUCAGCGGUCGGCAAUGGGAAAAUGCAGAUGACAGUCCUGAACCGUCCGCAGUCCUUACGGGGUUAACAAUAGAGGUGGGUCCCAUCUAUUUUUCAUUUGGAGACCUAACCUCACUUUUUAUAUUUUAUAAGUAUUGAUGUUAAUAGGGUUCAUGCCCACUAUUACCUCGGUAACCUUUUAAUGGCAACAGUGUAGGUUUUUCUUACAUCUGUGGCCAUAUUUUCUCUACCCUUCACAUACUCUUGCUUAAGUAUGGAAACUUAAGAGGGAUGUAUGGGAACAAAACUUGUGUGGACUGGCUGACAAUGAAAUUAGUUAAUGUAAUGGUGACUUUGUUCUCUCUAACACUGUGGCAUGUCCCCUAUCUUCUACACUUACUAUAUACACUUCUCUGUCCCAGACUGUAUACAAGGAGCUUCUGCCUGCCAGUAAGAAGGCAAGGAAACAAAUGGACAUGUAAGUGCAUCGGGGACAGUCCAUAGAAAGCGUGGAGUAGGCGCAUCAUUUGACGCAUUAAUGUCAAUCUCAGGGUGUUGCAUGAUCUGCAGGCAGCCUGACAUGCAUUCAUGCCAGGAUCGCCUUUCAAUUCUUUGGGAAGACAUGUCCCCUCUUUGGGCAUGUUCGCCCCUUUCAGCAGUUCUGGUUACAUGAUUUGCAACAGGGGCAAUGACUUCCUGCUUCACUGGACACUGUUGUUAGGUG